AGUCAUACUUCGUUAUAUAAAGGUUAAAGUGAUUAAGUUCUCUUAUUUUAGAUGAGUUUGCUUCAUAAUUCUUCUGUUAGUCUGUUGCGUUGUUUAUUGCUUUGGUUCUUAGUUGGCACAAUGUUCGGAACAGUAACGAUCACCCUUUUCUCAAUACUCUUCACAAUCUGGAUCCUAAAAAGGAGGAAGCAUUUCAGCAGUUUUUUGAAGCUGGGAAUUCCAGGACCGAAACCUGAUUUGUUGUCUGGUAACAUGUGAGAAAUGUACUGGAAGGAUGCCCUUCCUUGUCUUCAAGAUUGGAUAGAUCAAUAUGGAAAGGUUUUUAU